UGUGCCAAGAAAUACUAAGAAGAAUCUGGGUGUAUCGGGUGUUUCUUGUUGUGUCCAACAUUGUUACCAACUUCAACCUACUGUAGCCACCUCAUCUGGAAUCUAAAUUUAAUUUUAUAAAUUAUGUUCCUUUCUUGCUUCUCUCAAAAUUUUGUAGGAUCUAAUCUUGCUUAAUUUGGAGUCCUGUAGCUUGCCUUUUAGGGGUCCUCACCCC
rnacentral:lncRNA from 1 species